rnacentral:lncRNA from 1 species
UAACAUAAAACAUAAAGUAAACAUAAGAGUCUAGUAGUGAUAUUAAUAAACAAAAAUCAUGAAUAUCUACUAGAAUUUCCUCAAAACCUGGUGUCACAAGUGCACGAGCAAACUAGUAGAAUAUACAAAACCUCCUAAUAUACCACUGCCUGAAGUAAGAUAGAUAGAAAAGUAAAUACAACAAGGAGGAGACCCUGGGUGCUACCGAACGGAGCACAGGAAGCAGCUCACCACUACAUCUCUAAGUAGCGCGGGUACGUGCAUGACUGGCUACCAGAUGCACCUGUCUCAGAUCCUGCAUGAUUAGUAUAGAAGUGUAGUGUUAGAAGAUAAACAACAUAUACCUAGUAAGUAUCAAGCCUAACCUCGAAGAAGUAGUAACGAGGGAUCGACAUCGACACAUACUAAAGGUCAACAAAUAAAGUGUAGGAAUCACAAAUAGGCGUGAAAUAUAACAAUAACAUUAAUAUAAGAAACAAUAAUUACUGAUUCUUAAACAUAAUAUCAAUUUGAUGUCUCCAACUAUUACAUGCCAAAUCAUUUAACACAUUAGACACACUAAGUAAUUUUCAAGUCUAGAAUCAAGAAAGAAAUAUCAAGUAUAAUCGGACUUCGAGCAAUAUCACAAACGAUUUAUGCUAGGGUCAUAUGACCCAGUCCAAAAUAGUGUGUACACUGCCGAGGGUCGAUUGGCACGGACCAUAGGUGCAUUUAAUAUACUGCCAAGGCGUUCGGCCGGAUUCAUAGGAAUAGAGGAAACUCUACUAACUCCAACCAAUGACCACUACAUAAGAAUAAUACUCAAAGAAGGCAUAAUGUCUGCUAUCAAUCAAGUAUUCUGCCAAAAUAUAAAGUAAUGAAGCUUAGCAUUUUAAAAUCCCUUUAACCAAUUUCAAUUAUAAAUAAGUAAUUAAACUAAAAGUUGGGUACGAAUAAUACAAAUAAUGCAUCGUAAAGUCCUAAGUCUAUCCAGACAUAAGCAUGACUUUAGCUACGUACGGACUCUCGUCACAUCAUGUGUACGUAGCACCCACAAUUAUUAGCAAAUAACUAUUUAGAAUACCUAUGUGGAUAAUUUCCUCUUACAUGGUUAGGCAAGAGGCGUACCUCGUUUCCAAGUCUUCUUUCCGGUUCACAAAUCACACUAAUAGCCUCUAAUCGGAGCCGAAAAAUCCGAAACUAGCCAAAGUUUAUACAAAAUAAUCAAUAUAUGCUCAAAAGUUCAUAAUUUAACUAUUAGAGUAAAUACCCAAGCCAAUUUGGAAGAUUUCUGAAAUUCACCCCAAGUCCACGUGCC